rnacentral:rRNA from 1 species
UACAGAGGUCUCAAGCGUUUGUUCGGAUUCAUUGGGCGUAAAGGGUGCGUAGGCGGCGCGGUAAGUCGGGUGUGAAAUCUUGGAGCUUAACUCCGAAACUGCAUUCGAUACUGCCGUGCUUGAGGACUGGAGAGGAGACUGGAAUUUACGGUGUAGCGGUGAAAUGCGUAGAUAUCGAGAGGAACACCUGCGGCGAAGGCGGGUUGCUGGGCUGACACGUGACGCUGAUGCGCGAAAGCCAGGGGAGCGAACGGG